UUACCCCCCGCCACGUGCAAGGGGCGAGAUUCGUCCGCAGGUAACCUCGCGCCGGGGACGGCUCGCGGGGUACACCGGCUGAAAAUUUGGCGCCCCCCGUCAGGUGUAGAGGUCAGACAACCGGGCAAGCGUGGCGAGUUCCACCCGCGCCCUGUGAAAACCUACCCCGCAUUCUUUCUUUUGGCAGGCAGCUCGCUUAGGUAUGCGAGGUUGUUUGCCCCUCCUAUUGUCCCCCCAGCUCUCUCCCUAUCAAACACGCCGAAUCAUUAUCAGCGAUUAACGCGUAAGAACGUAAUAGCAAACAAUUUGCAUAAAGCUCGGAAAGGGCAAAAGUCCACAGGUAGCUCGUGGUGGGAGUACUCCAGCUCAUACCGAAGUUUCCGGCUUGCACUCUUGCAGACUUUUGGAGCUGGGAGCUGGUGUUGUACGUAUGCAAGAGCCAUAUGGGCUGCAGCAGUGACUAUUGGAGGUAGUCUGAGCUGAGUUUGAGCUGUAUAUGAGGUCCCUGAGGCGUGGAGAUAUUUGUACCCUGAUUAGAGCCGACUUGGUGUGGCCGGGUGUAGUCUUACCAGCUUCCCACGACUGAAGGAGGACCGCAGCCGUUGCCAUUGGAGACGUGGUCGAAAGAGUCCAAUUGCUCGUGAGUUUUCCGGAGACAUCUAACGAGAAGAAAAACAACACAAACGUUUUGCGGACCCGCUGAGUGUGAUGCAGCAGUGCACGUGCGCCGACAAGCUGAAGUCGGGGAUCCCGCUGUGGAGGCCAGGUGAGGCCGCCCCUCGCUUACCAGGUGUGUGCUCGUGCGCAUGCGUCAUCG